AUGGUGACCUCAAACUUGCACACAACACGCACGCAUGCACAACACACACACACACACACACACACACAUGUACCAUGUACACAAACUAACAUCAACCUGUGUGUGUGUGCACGUGUGUGUGUGUCAGCUGUCACUCAGGCUUCAGCGGGCCCCAUUGUGACACUAAGGAGUUCAAUGUGCUCUACGUGGUCCCCGGCUCUGGCAAGCUGCGCUACGUCCUCAUCGCCUCCAUCAUCGGAGCGCUGCAGGUGGCCAUCAUCUUUGUGGUGGUGCUCUGUAUUACCAGUUUUGACAAAGACAGGUGUGCCUGGGGUUUCCAUUCAAAAUGAAAACCUGCUGAUCAACCAAACUUGCCAAGUGGCCCAUGGGUGAAGGCAGCUGGCCAAUAGCCAGCCGUUACAGGGAAGGAGACCCCGCCAUUCCGUUCAAGUUCCCAGGAAGACUAUUAGACAAAACCACGUUUGCCUAAUCCAUCCAGCCUGUUGUAACAUGUUUGUUUACAUCUUGAAGAUGUUAAGACACUUGUUGAAUGUGCUACUUGGCUCCUAGUUGUAGAGUAUGAGAUUUUCAAGUUAAAGAUAAAUGGUUGACACCUUUCCAGAAGGCAAGAAUUUCAGAAAGAUUUUUAGAGUUGGACUUUGCUCAUUGCUUGGAUCUUUUUGUAGCUAAGGAAUGCUAUUAUCCCCAUUAUCUUUGUUCAUUCCUUUCAAUAAAAACCCUAUGACAUGGUAACGUGUUUUACUAUUGCAUAUGCUUAUGUCAUUCAGAUGUAAAAUGAAGCUCUAUAAAACCUGAAAAGUAUCCAGUGCUUUGCCCUGGUCAACAUUGCAGAUUUCACACUAGAAUCAGUGUUGUUUAUUU
rnacentral:lncRNA from 8 species